rnacentral:rRNA from 1 species
AUGCUGCUCACUGUCGUUUUGGUCGUUUUUCUGCUUUUUGUUGUUACGUAAAAGGGAGGUGAAAAGUCAGUGCUAAAUGCAUGGCAAUCCAUGAUCGAGCUUAUUUAUGAUUUCGUGCUGAACCUGAUAGACAAACAAAUAGGCGGUCUUUCCGGAAAUGUGAAACAAAAAAAUUUUCCUCGCAUCUUGGUCACCUUUACUUUUUCAUUAUUUUUUCCCAAAAAACUAAUAAAAUAG